rnacentral:miRNA from 1 species
UUUGCACAGCGGUCUUUUUAAU